CGGGGGGAGCAAGCGUUGUUCGGAUUUACUGGGCGUAAAGGGCGCGUAGGCGGCCUCUGCAAGUCGACUGUGAAAUCUCCGGGCUUAACCCGGAAAGGUCAGCCGAUACUGCAGGGCUAGAGUGCAGAAGGGGCAACUGGAAUUCUCGGUGUAGCGGUGAAAUGCGUAGAUAUCGAGAGGAACACCUGCGGCGAAGGCGGGUUGCUGGGCUGACACUGACGCUGAGGCGCGAAAGCUAGGGGAGCGAACGGGAUUAGAUACCCCGGUAGUCCUAGCCUUAAACGAUGAAUGCUUGGUGUCUGGGGUUUUAUAGUCCCCGGGUGCCGUCGCUAACGCUUUAAGCAUUCCGCCUGGGGAGUACGGUCGCAAGACUG
rnacentral:rRNA from 1 species